rnacentral:lncRNA from 1 species
AGAAAUCAUACUACACUAUUUGAUUCAUUUAAGCCAUCUAUCUUCCCUUCCUUAAAAUAUCUUUUAUGUUUAUUUCCACUAAUGUCCUCCAAAUAAAAUUACUUUAGAGUUAAAAGCAACUGACACCCAGUAGUUAUCUUUAAGAUUUAUAUGUUAUUUUUCUCUCAUAAAAAAUCUGUGUAAUAUUUGAUGUCUGACCAAGUGCUUGGUAGAGCAUCCUUACUGACUAUUUUUAAGGAUCAGAAAUGUAAGAUUUAACAGUAGCCACUUGCAUUCUACAUGGUAACAUGUAGUUUCAUGAUGAUCUUCACUAAAUUUUACCAUCCCUUCUAUAAAUUCCAAGAUCAUACAAAAUAAUUUGAGUGCAUUACUCAUCAGGGAUUCUGGAGGUACAUUUUAAGUUUUAAUAAUAAAUGCUAGAAUGACCAAAUUGCAGACUAAUUAUUUCCAUAUUGUACUUAAAAUGAGUUUUUAAAAAUUAUUUUAAAAGAGAUGACUAUAUACAAUCAAAGCUAUUUAUUGUACCUCUGGGCCUACUCUUCCAAAAAUUGAGCUUAUCAAUUUUUCUCUGUCAAGCUUGAACUAAUGUAAAUAAUUGGAAUAAUGUAAAGUUAUAUUUUCAUGUUUUUAUAGUUAUGACAAGAACACUUAAUGUAAGAGUAUCUCGAGUAUGAAUAAUGUUGAUUGGCUAACACAGAGCUCAGUUUUAGGCAGUAAAAUCUAGUUCAAUAUCCAUGUAACAAUGCAUCAGUAUAUUGCUGUAUAGAUGUGUCUGUGUGCAUAUAAGUGAUAAGUGCUCAACAAAGAGUGGUGACAGCUCUCUCAAGGUUUUUUUUUUAAUUCAUUUUCUAUAAACUGUUAUGGAAAGACCAAAAUAAUUAUGAACUAUUCUUAUGUAAAUUUACAAUUGUCCUUUACUGUACAUUUUGUUUACAGUAUAGUACCUUAUUCUCUGCUGUGUUAAGUGGGUGUCAUACUCCAAGGAGACAAACACUUUCUACAACUUCUAUUGAAGAUUCUGGGAUUUCCAAUUUUUCAUGUGUACUAUGUCUGAAAAUGCUUUUGAUUUUAUUUUUAAAUCUAACAUCUGAUGGAUUUUUCAGAGUGUUGUGAAACCUUCAGUCAUACAUAAAAUAUGUUCUUAUAAAAUGUCAACAUCUUUUUAUUUUGUUUUUACUUAAUGGUAUAUCAAUCUAAUAAUGAGAAACCAAAAGUGUAUCAUAUAUCCCCCCCCCCAAAUCUAGAUGUUUUUAGUGAGGGAGGGCAUCAGUUUGUCAGCAAAGUCUGAAUAGUGUCAAGGCAGAAUAUUUUUUAAUUUAAAUUAAGAGAAUUAGUAAUUCUGGUAUUUCACACCUAUACUCAUUAGGUUCUUUGGACAUAUAUAGAAAUGUGGCUAUUGAUUAAAUCACUUAUUUUGUAAUAGACAACACUGGUAACAUACCAGGCAUUGUGCACUUAGCCCUCCUACUGUGCAGUCAUCUCAUUUGCUGUGGUACUCAUAUUAAAGAGCAGGAAAGUAACUUGCUUUAAAAUAUGGUUUGACUUUUAAAAAUUGACCACUUAUUAUUUAACUUAAAAAUUCUUUCCACUUUAACUAAUUUCUUCACAAAGCUGGUCAUUUGAAUAACUACACAAUCCUAUUUAUAUGUACUUUAAAGUUAUUCCAAUAUUAUAGUUCUCCUAACUUGAACAUAAAUUUGUAAAAAUUUUUAUACUUAAAUGUAUCAAGUACUUAACACACCAAUAUAAAGGUGAUUCUGCUUAAAAAUACAGGAAUUUUACAUUUCUAAUCUGUAAAUACUGUGGAUAUUUUCAUGAUCAAGGUAGUACUUUGAGAAUAAGAAGAAAAUUACUAGCAACAUUCCUGUAAAAACCUUUAGCACCUACCAUAUCUUAAGGAUAUCAUUAACUUUUAAUUUUAAAUGAAGUGUAUGUAUGUGCGUGCUGAUGUGGGAAUAUGCCCAUGAGUGCAGGUGUCUGCUGAUAACAGGGGUGGGCCCAGGUAUAUCAGAGCUAGAGUGGGGUUAUAGAUGCUUGCCAGCUCCUAAAAUGGUUUUUGGAGAAACUAGCCUGGGUCCACUGCAAGUGUUCUUUCUUAACCACUGAGCAAUCCUCCAGCACCAAUAACAUCAUUAAAACUUUUU